UUAGGUGUCUUGAGUUGUGAUUUGCGACAAGUGAUUUGCUUGUGAGAUGACGCUUUAAAAAGUCAAGUUUCCAAACGUCGUCCCACCAUUUUCCACUAGAAACUUCUUCUGGAACUUUCGUAUCACGACAAAACAGUCAUAUAACGCCAAUUUCUGAAUCAAUUUGUCGCAACGGAACAUAUAUCAAAUUAUAACUUUCUGCAGUAGCAAUUUCUACCGUUUCCUCAAGCCAUUCCACCUUAAAUGAACUUGGCAAUUCUUUUGCGCUUAACGCCCUUCAACUCUUUCGACACGAGUGAAUCAAUUUUUUUAAAAUGUGAAAACAAUUAGUCUACGUUUCUACGAUAUCAGCGUUCAACGAUGCACACUGUGUAAACCGGAAAAGGAAAAGGCUGUUGGUUGUGAAGCACUUAGAGAUCCGGAAGACUGGGUCAGCGAUUCAACGAGUGUCAAGCGAGCAUGAGCUGUGAGACACAAUUCGAAAGGAGAAUGGAGGCCCGUUUUGCUGUGUGUCUCUGUCAGUCACCACUAGUUGCAAAAUGCUGCUGCCAACUGGAUCACCUUCCUGCCAAUUAACAUUUUACACUUGCCCAGGAAGCUCCUGUUCACUGAAUCUGAAGAAAAACACCUACAAAACCUAAAUUCAACGCCUGACCUACAUACAGUGCCGGAUGACCCGGAUCUCCCCACUGGCUGGGUCCAUGCUGAACUGCUGCCAUGGAUCGCCGCUAACGAUUGAGUAUUGGAU